rnacentral:rRNA from 1 species
AGUGAACGCUGGCGGUAGGCCUAACACAUGCAAGUCGAACGGCAGCACAGUAAGAGCUUGCUCUUACGGGUGGCGAGUGGCGGACGGGUGAGGAAUACAUCGGAAUCUACUUUUUCGUGGGGGAUAACGUAGGGAAACUUACGCUAAUACCGCAUACGACCUACGGGUGAAAGCAGGGGAUCUUCGGACCUUGCGCGAUUGAAUGAGCCGAUGUCGGAUUAGCUAGUUGGCGGGGUAAAGGCCCACCAAGGCGACGAUCCGUAGCUGGUCUGAGAGGAUGAUAAGCCACACUGGAAUGGAGAAACGGUCCAGACUCCUACGGGAGGCAGCAGUGGGGAAUAUUGGACAAGGGGCGCAAGCCUGAUCCAGCCAUACCGCGUGGGUGAAGAAGGCCUUCGGGUUGUAAAGCCCUUUUGUUGGGAAAGAAAAGCAGCAGGUUAAUACCCCGCUGUUCUGACGGUACCCAAAGAAUAAGCACCGGCUAACUUCGUG